rnacentral:rRNA from 1 species
UGCAACUCGACUACAUGAAGCUGGAAUCGCUAGUAAUCGCGAAUCAGAAUGUCGCGGUGAAUACGUUCCCGGGUCUUGUACACACCGCCCGUCACACCACGGGAGUCAGUAACGCCCGAAGUCAGUGACCCAACCGGAACAGGAGGGAGCUGCCGAAGGUGGGACCGAUAACUGGGGUGAAGUCGUAACAAGGUAUC